AUUGGUGCCCCCGGGCCUUUGCACAUGCUGUUUCUGUGUUCCCAGUGCUUCCAGCCCCUUCAGACCUCAGCUGCUCCUUCGCUGAGGCCUCUGCCGCUCCCCAGUCUGCCCCCCAGAGCUCCUGGUCUGCCCCGACAUGGAUAAUGCUCGUGUGGGACCCCACCCAGCGGAGAUGCUCCUAGAGUACUUAGCAAACGAGUGACGGAUCACCCUGGGGCCGAGGGUGGUCUGAGCAGCACAGGCCUCCCGGGCCGGCGGGAAAGGGGUACUGCUCAGUGCCCGCGCCCCCACCUCUCUCUCUGUCCACCUGCUGCUGGGCCCGGCCUCAGCCUGCUGGGAGGGCCUGGCAACCUGGGAGAAUUCACCUGACCUUCCGGAACCUUCUGAAGAUGGAGAAGGGUGGGCGGUGGGCUCCCCUGCCCGACACUCACAGGGGUCAGAAGCCGGACGGGCAGCCCACGAGGUGACGUCAGGACCAACGGGGGGGGUCACGGGGACAGCCCCAACUCCACUGGCCGCCCGUGGCUGCAGAGUGACCCCCGAGAUGUGGCCCGUGCAAAUCGAGACACGCGGGAGCUGUGACGUCCGCACGGGACCCGCGAUGUCAUGUGAGAAGGAGGAAAUCGCUUACGUGGUACCCGUGGUAUUUCUUUCGGACGCUGCCGGCCUGGAAAAUGCAGAAACAGACUCAAAACUCCAAGAUAAGAAAACCGAGACUCCCAAGCCCAGGCCGCCUCGGUCUGCCGUUCCUCCCGCUCCUGCCCCCUCCCCGCUUUGACCGGAGCAGUGAGCGCCCCAUCCGC
rnacentral:lncRNA from 1 species